UUGAGCCGUAUGCGGUGAAAGUCGACGCACGAUUCUGAGGGGGGAAGGAGACCAAGAUGUUAUAAUCAAGGUCUCUGACCUACCCGAC
rnacentral:ncRNA from 1 species